rnacentral:rRNA from 1 species
GUGGGGAAUAUUGGACAAUGGGCGCAAGCCUGAUCCAGCCAUGCCGCGUGUGUGAAGAAGGCCUUAUGGUUGUAAAGCACUUUAAGCGAGGAGGAGGCUACUUUAGAUAAUACCUAGAGAUAGUGGACGUUACUCGCAGAAUAAGCACCGGCUAACUCUGUCGCCGG